GGUUGUUGUGGUUUCUCCUCUGUGUGUGUAAACUUUAUUUUACUCCUUUCAAGAUGCCGAUGACUCGGUAGAGAAUAUGCAUAUCAGGGUUUGAGUGCUGUGGUCAGUGGAAUUGCAGCGUGGACUCCAACAUACUGUUGACUGUCCUGAAACAAGAUGGCUGUUCUGGG